GACGAACGCUGGCGGCGUGCUUAAUACAUGCAAGUAGAACGCUGAAGAGAGGAGCUUGCUCUUCUUGAAGAGUUGCGAACGGGUGAGUAACGCGUAGGUAACCUGCCUUGUAGCGGGGGAUAACUAUUGGAAACGAUAGCUAAUACCGCAUAACAAUGGGUGACCCAUGUCAUUUAUUUGAAAGGGGCAAAUGCUCCACUACAAGAUGGACCUGCGUUGUAUUAGCUAGUAGGUGAGGUAACGGCUCACCUAGGCGACGAUACAUAGCCGACCUGAGAGGGUGAUCGGCCACACUGGGACUGAGACACGGCCCAGACUCCUACGGGAGGCAGCAGUAGGGAAUCUUCGGCAAUGGGGCAACCCUGACCGAGCAACGCCGCGUGAGUGAAGAAGGUUUUCGGAUCGUAAAGCUCUGUUGUAAGUCAAGAACGAGUGUGAGAGUGGAAAGUUCACACUGUGACGGUAGCUUACCAGAAAGGGCGG
rnacentral:rRNA from 1 species